rnacentral:rRNA from 1 species
UCGGGAAUUUUGGGCAAUGGGCGAAAGCCUGACCCAGCAACGCCGCGUGAAGGAUGAAGUAUUUCGGUAUGUAAACUUCGUAAGAAUAGGAAGAAUAAAUGACGGUACUAUUUGUAAGGUCCGGCUAACUACGUGCCAGCAGCCGCGGUAAUACGUAGGGACCAAGCGUUGUUCGGAUUUACUGGGCGUAAAGGGCGCGUAGGCGGUGUGUCAAGUCAGUUGUGAAAUCUCCGAGCUUAACUCGGAACGGUCAACUGAUACUGUCACACUAGAGUACAGAAGGGGCAAUCGGAAUUCUUGGUGUAGCGGUGAAAUGCGUAGAUAUCAAGAGGAACACCUGAGGCGAAGGCGGGUUGCUGGGCUGAUACUGACGCUGAGGCGCGAAAGCUAGGGUAGCAAACGGGAUUAGAUACCCAAGUAGUCCCUGAGCGGGCUGGCAAGGCGCAU